CGGGGACCGGAGGGAGGGAGGCUGCGGACGAGCGCGGGGAGGAGUUUGCGAUGGGAGGCGCUUGCAGGGGCUCCCCCAGUUCUGCACUGUGAGCCGGGGCACAAAGCCCUCUGCACUCCGCCGCAGGACCGCGGACCCCAGCUGGAGGCCUCUCCCUGCUCACCCACGUGGUUCUGGACACGUUCAUGCAGCCGCACUGACCUGGUGGCAUCUGAGGAGUACCCAAGAGUGGCAGCAAGUUCCUGGGACAGAGAGGAGAGAAGGGAAUCUCGAGCCCCUCUAGGAUGCGGCAGGCAACACGGUAGAGCAGCCUUGCAGAUAAGUAUUCAAAUCUACCAGCCCGUGGCCAGCCAGCCCCAGCCCCCCACCUGCCUUCCCUGGUCUGUGUAGGAGAAUGGAGUGUCCUAGAAUCGCAAAGAGGGAGGGGAAGUCAGAGAGGAGAGGAGGCUCUACUUUUAUUUCAGGAAGAAAGAGCUCGUUCCAUUUUAUGGGCCUCAAAAAAAAGGUGAUUUUCACACCCCACUUUUGCAUCUGAGCUAGUGUUUUAUAACCUGCUGUCGGGAGCUUUUAUAUAGCUGAUUUAAAUGACUUCAUCUCUGCCCCUGUAGGUCUGCUGUUAGUAGGGGGCUGGGGACUUCCUGGCGAUUUGGACUGGCCCAUAUCUUCUCAGUGGCCUUUGGUGUCCACAUUCCUGAGCUUGGCUAGGGGCCCUUGGCCUUGCAGUGAAGUGUGGACGGCAGCACGGUCCCCGUGGGACACAUCUUGUUAGUGCCAGGUCUGAGCUGGUGCCUGCCCCAAGUCCCAGGUGCCACAGUGAGCUCUGAAAAUACGCCAAGAGGGUACCCCGAUCCCCUGGCUCAGGCCACUGGUUGACGGUGAUCACACAGCUGGUACCAAAAGCAAAAUUCAGGAUUUGGCGAGUGGGCAUUCCCCGGCCUUCUCCAGACUGUGCACAUAGGGUGGCCCUGCAGGCGUCCCCCCUCCACCCCGAUCUCCCCAAGCUGCUCCUGCUGCCUGGCCCAUCCCGGAAGGGCAGGGGGCCCUCUGUCCCGUGCUCCCUCUGAGCUGUACUCCUGGGGAGCGGGGAGGUGGGGACAGGGUCACUGCCCACUUCCCGUACUCACUAAGGAUGUCUGGGGUGGAUGGAAGGGAGGUGGCGGCCCAGCCUCCCUGGCUCUGAGUGGCCAGGCUUGGGCUUGGGGAGGGGGCCUGGGUGCAGUUCUCUCCUGCGGUGUGGGUGGCUCUUUUGUCUUCCAGGAUGGGCCUGUGGGGUCAGCGUGGGGAGGAGCUGGGAGCCCGUGGCCUUGGCCGGGUGCUGCCAGUCAGCACAGACGCGGGCCAGGUGCCUUCUCCAAGUGGCUGCUGGGAUCCGGAGGUGGACACCAGAGACACGGCCCCUCCUCUCUGAUCUCCCGGGCGGCUCUGCCCAGUGCAGCUCCUCUACCUGCUCUUCUCUUUGGUGCCCUGACUCUGCAUCCUGGCUACAGUGACCUCAAGGCUGGGCCAUCGCUCAAAGACCUCAGCCUUCCCUACCCUUGGGAUGGAGCCUCUGGUGGAUCAGAGCCCUUCUUGGUAGAUGCUCAGCUGAGGACCCCAUCCUGACCCUGCGGACUCUCAUCUGCUUCCCGCCUGCGGGCCGGCCCCUGGAUUUCACCUCCAGUCCCCUCCACGAGAGAGCUGGGCCUGGGCAAGGCCCCCUCCCAGGGCCAGUCUUAAAGGACCCUGCAGGGUGGGGGUGGGGUGAGCUGGGUGUGGAGGCCAGUCACCAGUGGGAGGCUGGACGCAGCUCCUGGGCCUCCCCGGCUGCAGUCUUUUUGGUCCUUGGGUGUUUUCCGCAUGGGUGACUGUCGUUUUGGGGAGUGCUUCCUGGUUGGGCUUUUCCACGUGUCUCUCCCUCUCCUCGUGGUUCCAGGGAGGAGGAAGAGAGGCGGGGGGGGGGGGCUGUGCUUUCCCUGUAGGGUGUCCGUCUCUGGGAGAGCGUGGGUGUCCUGAAAUGACAGGGCUUCUCAGCGAGACCCAGGCCGGGGAAGCCUGUGGACACCGCUAGACAGCUCUGGAUUCAAGUCCUCCGUCCAAGGAGGCCCAGCCUCCCCCAAGCCUGCUCAGGCCCCCAGGGCUUCCCGGGUCCUUGCACUGGGCUCCCGGAUUCUGUCCUUGGGGGCGGAGGAAGCUUGCGGGACAAGUGGCUCCUUGCCUGUCUGAUGGCAGUCCCUUCCAGAGGGAGAACCCAGCACUUGCAGGAGAGCCCCUCCCGGUCUCCCUUAGGCCAGGGUAAAAGCCGGAAGUUGUCCUCCCAGGGCAGGAGGUGGCCGGGUUCCUCGGCGGGACUACAGGUUCCAUGUCACAGCGCUGGAGGCCGGGCCUUCAAGAGCAAGUCCAGGAAGGGGCCUCUCCACUGUGUCCUCACAUGGCCUCUUCUCUGUGGAGGGACAGCAAGCAAGCUCAGGCGUCUCUUCCUAUAAGGACACCAGUCCUGUGGAGUCAGGGCCCCACGAUGACGUGACCUCAUUUCACCUUAAUUGUAUCUAAAUGUGCUGUCGCCAAACACAGGAACACCUGAGGGGUUAGGGAUUCAGCCUGGUUGUUUCAGAGACACCUCUGAGUUCCAGAACAGGGUGGUCAGCACAAGCAGGGGUCAUCUGCCUUUUGGAAUGCCCACCCCCGCAGGCAGGAGAUGAGCAGGCAGGUGUUGUGCUAGGGUGGGCCGCGGAUGCCUCGGGACAUGCAGGACUAGAUGGACCCGGGGCAGGGAGCAGGGAUGCCCAGGAAGGAGCGAUGGCUCCAGGAGAGCUUGGGUCUUGAAGGCAGAUCGGUUCUCAGGUGCGCCCCCUGCUGUACAGCCAUGGGCAGGUCACCUUGGCAGCGUGAGCCCUCUGCACCAGGAGCACUCAAAUGUGUUGGCACAGUGUGGGAGCCCUUAGUAGGUGCUCAAUAAACACUCCAGCCCAUCUAGAUUUAGGAUCAGACUCAUCUUGGCAUGGCCGACGGUGAAACUCGGCAUCUUCUGAUCCAGAAGCAUUUCUGAUUCCAUGUUCCUCUGCCUGCUUCCCUAAUACCCCUUUCUAAGCAGCUUGGGAUGGGGUCACAUUUCAUGGCCUCCAAAGUAGCUUGCUGCGUUUCCUGGGGUAAAUUCCUUUCAUUCGAAUUGAACACCUACUUUGGGCUCUUUCUUGUGCCAGCCUUUUGGGGGACGAUAGGUCAAGAUCGGCUAUGGGUCCAACCUUUAGGAUUUCCUAGUCAUGAUGCAGGAGGGACACAGCCAGCUCCCAUGGGGAACUGGAGGGCUGGCCAUGUCAUAAUGGAGUCUGUUGAGGCCGACGCUCUGAGCUCCCAGAGGUGGGGUGGAAUGGGAGUGAGGGGCUACAGGCUGGAGAGGCUAGGCUUCCUAGCAAGCCAGGGCCUUGGAGGGUGAGAAAGUUGUGGCUUAUCUGAGAACUUCUAGGGAGAAACUAGAGAAAGAUUCUCCAUUGUGACAGCAGGACUCAACAGAGCCUUGACGAUGUUAAUGAGGACCUCAGAUAUUCAAGGAGCCCAUAGAAGAAGCAUUCCCUGACUUCCCCGGCCACAGAAUUCUUUUCUCACAGAGCAUCAUUAGGACUGUGGGAGAUGUCAGGCUGAGUUUUGGCGGGGAGACAGAGUGGGGACAGGACAUGACAUGACUAGGGUACACUCGGGUGCUUUGAAAUUUGGCUGGAAAGCAUGCAGACGGGGAGGGUCUGGGGAGUCUGAACUUGGUUCCGGGGCCAAGGUUGAUGCCAUUUUUGUAGGGGUGAGGCGGGGGCAGACCAGCAUUGGGAGCAGCCAGGGGCCUGGCAGCUGGUGAUGGAAGAGACGUCCACCAAACAGGGUGGUUAUGGGAGGUCAGACCUUUUGUGGAAGGACGCUGGUGUGUGUGUGUGUGUGUGUGUGUGUGUGUACGUGUGCUCACACAUCAGCUCUCUGGGAAGGGGCUGACCAUAUCAAGGCAGGGGGUUUCCACUCAGAACAGCAGGGUCCAUUUUCAGGGGAACUGAAAAUGUUUGGGGGGAGACGGUCUUUGAGACCCACAGACAAGAAAUAGGGACUCGUGAUGCUUUGGGGCAGGGUCCGGGUGGCUAGGCUAGAUCCUGGGGCGGAGGGGCGAGGUGGCAGACCCCCUGCCCUGGUCAGGCCCAUGCCCAGGCUGGUGGGGUCAGGAGGCCCUGGAGCGCCACAGGAGGCCCCGGGCAGCAUGGCAUGGUGUGAUUAACCUACUAACCCAGGGCUCGGCCGGGAUGCUGUGGCGUGUGAUGAGGUGCCUGGCCUUCUGCCCAACCACUAACCCACUAACCAGGCCCGAGCAUGCCCUACUAACCCCGCAGCCAGACCCUACUAACCGUGCAGCUCAUGGGCCUUUUCAGGGGCUGGGACAUGGGUGCAGACGAGGCUCCGGAAGUCCCUGCCCGGGCUGGGGUGUUUGUGCAGACCCAGGGUGCAGGACGGGGCGUGCAGAUAGGCCUUAACCAGCUCUACCGCUUCCUCCACACCCCAGUUCUUCCCUUGCUGGUUACAGUGAGGGUGCUCACCAAUAUGGCAGCCUCGGUGCACGGCAGAUACUUAAAAAAUAAAAAAAGGUGGGGGUGGGGUGGGGGUGGGAGGCUCCGGAGACCCCAUCACGUCCCCGCCUGGUCUGGUCUCUCUGGGUGUUCUGCACAGAGACCCUCUGCCCGGGGCUGGGCACGUCCCUUCCCACUUCCUCCUCUCUCUCCCAGCUUUCCUUUUGUAGACGGCUCUUUUGUUUGAUUACUAACUUGUCUAACCUGGGGGUGCCUCUGCUGCACCCCGAUGCCCCUUCUCGAGCUCUAAACCUGUGUGUGUCCCCCUUUCUCUCCUAGCGGCUCCCGUGUCUGUCUGCUGAGGUGCCCUGUGCGCUGGUGCUGUGCUCUGACUACUAACCCGGCCCUACUAACCCGUUCUCUACUAACCCAGCCCUGCCGAGCUCUGGGCCCCCACUGGGGGCUGGUCCCCCUCCUCUUGGCAAGCAGAUGUCCCUCUCUGCUGCCCCAUGUUGGCUUCAUGGGAGCUCAGAGUCCACCAGGCCAGGUCAAAGGCAGGGGACGGUCUUUUGGACAUGGCCCAGAGGAGGCUGAGGUGGUCCUGGGCCGUGGGAGGCUGGGCUGAGCACGACCUUGCUCCUCUGUUGAGAAGUCUGGUUGCCACUGGGAGGGGCGGGCCAGGGAGCCCUCUGGGUGUGAGUGUGGAGGCCUGUGGGUCUGGAGUGUGCAGGUCUGGGCUUUCCCCAGGCGAGAGUCGGGACAAGGGGCCUGUGUGUCCUUCCCUGCAAGGAGGCCAGGUAGAACUUUCCAUUGGGCGGGAACCAUCUCGCACAGGAAAUCAAGGGUGGGGCUCAUGACCCAAUUCGGAAAUCAGCAGAGGGGCCUGUCCCAACCUGUAGCCGACAGAAGGGAGCGUCCACAGCGGAAGUCAGCCAGCUGAGACCUUGCUAAAGAGGAAGGCAGUGGAGAGGGUCUUCCCACACUGCAAGGUCACCGAGGGAAGAGUUCAGGGCUCAGGACGUCAGGGAGGGAGGCGUCCCCAGGGAAUUUGGACAGGAAGUCAGAGAGAGGGCUUCCCUGACCACGAGGCUGGAGAAGGCUGGUCAGCAGCCAGCGGAAGGGCCCUCUUCCCCUAGGAAGUCAGCUAGAGCGGCCUCUCUCCAUGGCAGGAGGGAGGGGGAGUGAGGCUGCAGAAGGACCUUGCCCCACACCCAGAAGCUCGGGGGCGCCAGCUGCCGUGUGGUUAGGAAAGCGGGCCUGCAAGGACUGGGGUUUGCAGAGGAGGGAAUCCCAGGGACGCCAUCCCCGGCUCCUGCCCAGCCCCGGCCCCAGCCAGCCUCCCCCAGAGCCCGCCAGCUGCUAAGCCAGGGCCACACCUGGGGGUGACGUCAUGCCUCACCUCCAGUAGGCACCUUGGUCUCUUGCACUAACUCUUGCUCUUGCCCAGCUAAUCCCUGCCUGGUCCUGGCUGCCCAGGGGCUGACCACUAACAGCCAGCCCUGCCCAUCGUUUGGGGUGGGGCGGCUCCAGGCUCCGGGCCUGGCUUUGGCCGGCUCUCAGCUCACCUCUCCUUCUCCUUGACUAACUCCUGCCUCCCUGGUCUGUUCCUUUUAGCAGAAACUAAUGGCUUGUGGAUCCCUCUUGGACUAACAACGGGUCUAACCCUUCUCCUCACUGUUACCAUUAACAGCUUGGUGUCAGCAUGGCUGCUAGGGGCUAACCCAGGUUUGGAACUUGACUAACACAGUGUUAGGUGCAGCUGGUGAUGUCGCUCUCGGUGACCUCUCUAGGUCAGGGCAUUUGGUGUGAAUAAUGCUCCUGGUUCUCUAAAGGAGAUGCCAGGGACAGGGUGUGGCCCAGGCCCCAUGGGGCGAUGGUAGCCCAUGGAGGUGGGGUUAGAUGUAUAGUCGGCCUUCCAAUGUUUUGGCCACGGGAUACAUUCUAUUAACCCCUCAUAAUCUGUUUGGUUUCAGUCCUUUUAAACAGUAGUCACACAGUCUAUACAAGUUGAACCUUAAAACGUGUUUGGGGGUACAGAGAGUGUGUUGUUACGUAUGAAGCCAUCAGUCAUCAGAUUAGGGCCUACAGUCCCUGUUUGGAGGACUUGAGGGUUAGCCCUAGGCAUAAAGCUUCAGAUAGAAGCAUUCAGAAGGAUCAUACUUCUAUCAGCCAUUUACACCUUAGUGUAAAUUAGCUCGGCAUCUUCUAAUUUCCAACUCUUCCAACCUAAUUGUAAAGCAAGAUAGCCACAGGAGGAGAUGGUCUUUGGCUGGCAGGGAGUUUGGAUCUCUGUAGGGCUGCGGGGAAGGUUCUUUGGGAUCAGAGAUGGGGAGCCGUGAAGGUGCCACCAGGUGAAGAUGGGAAUGGGAAGCAAGUCUGUGCUGCCUCGCUCUGGUAGUCAGCGUUGAUGGGAGAGGACAGAUGGUGGCCUGGAGGAAUGGCGCUCAGGGACAGUGUCCUAGAGUGGCCUAGAGGCCUUCAGACGUGUGGCUGGGGUCCAUGAAUGCUGUGCGUGGCUUCUCUGCCAUGGCCACAGGCUCACAGCUGGCCAUGUGUAGCUGACCAUGGGGCCCAAAGGGAGAUCCAGAGGCCAGAGCUGCAGAGGACACAGGACAGAGGCCUCAGGAAGAGCCUUCAGGAGGUGCCUUGGUCAGCCCUGCACGGGGAAGCACCGCCUGCGCCCUCUAGCGGCUGCUCCGCCCCGUUUCACCCAAAGCACGAAGCAGAGAAAACCUUUCCUGUUCAACACCCGCUCCGCGGGGAGCCCCUCUUUAUUCAAAUUCAGGGGCCGGAGGCUGCUGAGGACCUGGGUGCUGGGACCGCACACGGGCCUUGUCGCCGGUGCUUGCCUGGCUCAGCAGGGCCCGAUCUGGGCGUGGGGCGGGGAGG